AAUAGAUACCCGGGUAGUCCAUGCCGUAAACGGUGGGCGCUAGGUGUGGGGGUCUUCCACGACUUCUGUGCCGUAGCUAACGCAUUAAGCGCCCCGCCUGGGGAGUACGGCCGCAAGGCUAAAACUCAAAGGAAUUGACGGGGGCCCGCACAAGCGGCGGAGCAUGUGGAUUAAUUCGAUGCAACGCGAAGAACCUUACCUGGGCUUGACACACGCCGGAUCGCCGCAGAGAUGUGGUUUCCCUUGUGGCCGGUGUACAGGUGGUGCAUGGUUGUCGUCAGCUCGUGUCGUGAGAUGUUGGGUUAAGUCCCGCAACGAGCGCAACCCUUGUCUUGUGUUGCCAGCACGUUAUGGUGGGGACUCGCGAGAGACUGCCGGGGUUAACUCGGAGGAAGGUGGGGAUGACGUCAAAUCAUCAUGCCCCUUAUGUCCAGGGCUUCACACAUGCUACAAUGGUCGGUACAGUGGGUUGCGAUGCCGUGAGGUGGAGCUAAUCCCUUAAAGCCGGUCUCAGUUCGGAUUGGAGU
rnacentral:rRNA from 1 species